CAUGGACGUUGAGAUAUAUUUGGGAUAAGAAGGCGGAACUCAUUGUUACCUUGCUACGCCUCAACAAGCACGUUACCUUUUAGUAUCGACACAGCCAAUGCGAGUUGCGUAAAAAUCAUCGUCACCAACUAGAUGGCUAAUAGUUGUGCUGGCUGUAUAUAAAAGGCAGCAGAACAUGGCAGUAAUCAUCACAAUCCUGCCUGGAGUAUCCCAGCGUUACCACCACAGUCUACAUUUCUCUACAACAUCAUGAAGCUACUGAUGAUUCUCGCUGCUCUUCUGGCGGUCUUGGUUGCCGUUACGUUGGCCAAUCCGACGGAAACUGAAGCGGUCGACGGCGAUGGCCAGCACGAUCUUGUCGGAGACGAACACUUUUUGAAAAAGUACAAGAAACAUUCCAAGCACCACGCCUAUCCAGUCCAUAGGGUGCAACAUCACCCAGUUCCAGUUUAUCAUCCGGUCCCUGUUUACCAUCCACGUCCCGUCUACCAUCCAGUUCCAGUUUACCACAAAAAGUUCCACAAGGGUUAACCAGACUUUGUUUAUCUGGAACUCAAGUUUUUUUCCAGUGAAUGGAAACAGACAUGCAGAGCUUAACCAAACAAAAAAAAACAUACACACACACAUCGAGCUUUCUCUACAAAGGCAUCCUUCUUUUCACCUGUCAAUCAUUAAAUAACUUGUUACGCGCAAUACGUUUUACGGUAUUUCCUUUUUUCACGAUUUUUUAAAUACAAGUUUUCUUUGAAAAUAAAA